GACGAACGCUGGCGGCGUGCUUAACACAUGCAAGUCGAACGGAAAGGCCCAGCUUGCUGGGUGCUCGAGUGGCGAACGGGUGAGUAACACGUGGGUGAUCUGCCCCUAACUUCGGGAUAAGCUUGGGAAACUGGGUCUAAUACCGGAUAGGACAAUCGUUUAGUGUCGGUUGUGGAAAGUUUUUUCGGUUAGGGAUGAGCCCGCGGCCUAUCAGCUUGUUGGUGGGGUAAUGGCCUACCAAGGCGUCGACGGGUAGCCGGCCUGAGAGGGUGGACGGCCACAUUGGGACUGAGAUACGGCCCAGACUCCUACGGGAGGCAGCAGUGGGGAAUAUUGCACAAUGGGCGCAAGCCUGAUGCAGCGACGCCGCGUGGGGGAUGACGGCCUUCGGGUCGUAAACCUCUUUCGACAGGGACGAAGCUUUGGUGACGGUACCUGUAUAAGAAGCACCGGCUAACUACGUG
rnacentral:rRNA from 1 species